rnacentral:sRNA from 1 species
AUAGUUUAAAAACCAUAUAGUUCUCCUUUUUGAAAAUCUUCAUCUAGUCCGAUUAAUUUCCGCUUAACCGCUAGACCAACCCUAUUUGUUUCGAUUAAUUUUUUUUUGGUAAGGUGAGGGGGCAAUGCCCCCUACAAAUUUAUGAAAAGAACAAAAAAAUAUUACAAAAGAACUUUACGCGGGUACGCAGACCCUCGAGCAUCGUCAGAUAAACAAGACGACAAACCGUCAGGACAUACAUCAUAAAAAUGCAAACCUAAAGGGAGCGAAAAUGCAUAGUUAGCUAACCCAUCAGCAAGAUGAUUAACUUCUCUAUACACAUGUGUAAUUCAGACUCUCUAGUCCUUCGAAAGAAAGCCAUAACACAAACGUACUAGGAAAGACAAGGGAUGUGUGUUGCUUAUCCCGGUCUUGAGAAAACCCACCACUAUCUCUGAAUCCACCUCUAACUCCAACUGAGGUAUCCGUCUCGCCCACGCAAAAUAUAGGCCAUAAUACAUCCCCCAAAGAUUUGUUUCGAUUAAUGACUAAUCCUAUAAAAAAAAUCUGUU